rnacentral:rRNA from 1 species
GAUGAACGCUGGCGGCGUGCCUAAUACAUGCAAGUCGAGCGAACGGACGAGAAGCUUGCUUCUCUGAUGUUAGCGGCGGACGGGUGAGUAACACGUGGAUAACCUACCUAUAAGACUGGGAUAACUUCGGGAAACCGGAGCUAAUACCGGAUAAUAUUUUGAACCGCAUGGUUCAAAAGUGAAAGACGGUCUUGCUGUCACUUAUAGAUGGAUCCGCGCUGCAUUAGCUAGUUGGUAAGGUAACGGCUUACCAAGGCAACGAUGCAUAGCCGACCUGAGAGGGUGAUCGGCCACACUGGAACUGAGACACGGUCCAGACUCCUACGGGAGGCAGCAGUAGGGAAUCUUCCGCAAUGGGCGAAAGCCUGACGGAGCAACGCCGCGUGAGUGAUGAAGGUCUUCGGAUCGUAAAACUCUGUUAUUAGGGAAGAACAUAUGUGUAAGUAACUGUGCACAUCUUGACGGUACCUAAUCAGAAAGCCACGGCUAACUACGUGCCAGCAGCCGCGGUAAUACGUAGGUGGCAAGCGUUAUCCGGAAUUAUUGGGCGUAAAGCGCGCGUAGGCGGUUUUUUAAGUCUGAUGUGAAAGCCCACGGCUCAACCGUGGAGGGUCAUUGGAAACUGGAAAACUUGAAUGCAGAAGAGGAAAGUGGAAUUCCAUGUGUAGCGGUGAAAUGCGCAGAGAUAUGGAGGAACACCAGUGGCGAAGGCGACUUUCUGGUCUGUAACUGACGCUGAUGUGCGAAAGCGUGGGGAUCAAACAGGAUUAGAUACCCUGGUAGUCCACGCCGUAAACGAUGAGUGCUAAGUGUUAGGGGGUUUCCGCCCCUUAGUGCUGCAGCUAACGCAUUAAGCACUCCGCCUGGGGAGUACGACCGCAAGGUUGAAACUCAAAGGAAUUGACGGGGACCCGCACAAGCGGUGGAGCAUGUGGUUUAAUUCGAAGCAACGCGAAGAACCUUACCAAAUCUUGACAUCCUUUGACAACUCUAGAGACAGAGCUUUCCCCUUCGGGGGACAAAGUGACAGGUGGUGCAUGGUUGUCGUCAGCUCGUGUCGUGAGAUGUUGGGUUAAGUCCCGCAACGAGCGCAACCCUUAAGCUUAGUUGCCAUCAUUAAGUUGGGCACUCUAAGUUGACUGCCGGUGACAAACCGGAGGAAGGUGGGGAUGACGUCAAAUCAUCAUGCCCCUUAUGAUUUGGGCUACACACGUGCUACAAUGGACAAUACAAAGGGCAGCGAAACCGCGAGGUCAAGCAAAUCCCAUAAAGUUGUUCUCAGUUCGGAUUGUAGUCUGCAACUCGACUACAUGAAGCUGGAAUCGCUAGUAAUCGUAGAUCAGCAUGCUACGGUGAAUACGUUCCCGGGUCU